UUGGUUAUAAAUACCACUAUGGCGUCCAUUUUAUUGUUAGUAUACGUUUAAUGAGCGUAAGAUAUAAUAUCAUAUUAUAAUAUAAAUAUUUUUAUCGUUGUAGUGAAACUUUAUUUUGUUAUUUUAUCAUAAGUCUUAACUUAAAUCUAAACAUUUUUUUGACAACAUCUUACUAAGACAUUUUUCCAGUACAUAAGCUAAUCGUAAGUAUGUUAAUUAAUAAUUUAUAAAUCUAUAAUAUUUUGUAAUCAUAACACAAUUCCCGGAUUUAUGAUCAUAACCAUAAACGGAAUUAUAUUAUUUCACUCGAUUAAAUCGUAAUUUUUGUAGUAGAUACCUAAAAAUGUCUUUUAUAAAUAAUUUAAUUUCCUUUUCGGUUUUUAUUGUUAUAAACUUUGUGUUGUCCAUUAAAGCUGAAGAUUGUGACGCAAUGUCGAAUUUUUUCUUGGAAAAAAAUUUGAUUAUGUUUAACGCAACGGAAUCUGUUGUAUUUCUUCCCACAUUAUUUAAUUAUAAUAAGUUUAGGGAGGCUGAGUGGAAAACACCGACUUGUGUAGAAGGCGAAGAUUGUUAUAUAAGAAACGAAGUUAGUUUUAAUAGUAAAAGAGUACAGUCACUCUCGAAAACUAAUUUGGCCAUAAGUGAUGAAGAAUUAUCCAAUGCCGUUUACAAAAGUCUCGUUGAUAACAAACUGUCAAGCGAUGUACUAAGUGUUUCUCCUGACAGAUACACUGUACGUACAAACGCUAAAAAUUCUAUAGCCUUUUCAUUAGAAUAUGGCGUCAGAUAUAAUAUAUUGAAAACAAAUAAUUGUAUAAACUUCAUGGUUCGAAAUAAAGAAUCCGCGAUAUCAGGGUUGAUUUGCAAAUUUAUGUACACCACUGGUGUACGAUACAACAUUAAAUGUGACAAAGUCAAAUUGUUGUUAAUCCCCAUUGAUGAAAAUGGUUAUGCCCAAUGCGAGACAAUAUGUACAGAUUAAAUAUUGUACUUAAGCCAAACAUUCAUUAACAAUCGCAUUUGUGUAAUAUUAUUUUAUUAAUAGUGUUUAUUAAAAUAUUACAAGUCGAUAAAAUAUAUUUUUUUUUUCAUAAAUAAAUAGUUUAUUAUAAUUUUAUGAUAUUAUUUUUCUAACAAAUAAAUUGAUAAUGUUUAAAUAUGGACCAAGAUAUAAAUAUUAAGUGAAAAUAUUAAUUUAAAUUAUUUUAUAUCAUACUUUUAUACCUAAAUAUAAUAAGCGGCAUCGAUGUAAGUCUAAUAUAGCACCACAAAGCCAAUUUCAAAACAAAAAAAGUUACACUAAGGAAUUUAUAACUUUAUGUUCAAGAUCAAGGAUCAUUAUAUUAUAAUAUACAACAACACUUUCUAUAACAAAUCAUCACUACAGACGCCGAGUCUUGCUUUAUGUAUCACUUCUUUGCAGAUAAGAAUCAACCUUUAUACUCUAAAACCGAUUCUUUGUGAACUUUGUUAACACUAUACAUACGUACACGUCAAUAUAAUUAUGCUCUCGGGCAUUUCAAAAACAUUUUUUGACACAUGUAAUAAUUUUUAAAAGUUCCAAUCAGAUGACACGGCCGGUGUGGUAUCCGUUUUGACGUAUCCGUGUGGUUGUAGUAGGUAGGAGUGGAUUCACACACGGGGGUACAAUUAAUAGAUAUGAAAUAAGGUGGCCGCAAGAGGUAUAAUGAUUAUUUAUUAAAGUAAAAAAAAAACACAGUUUAAUGCGAUCGAACAAACGUCCAGCUUCGUCAGCGGUGGUGCUGCAGUGUAAGGUUGAUUUGAAAAACAAAAAUAAACAACAGUAUGGAGCAAUUUGACGCGUCGUUUUAAAUACCAAAAAAAAAAAAUCAAGAUGAAUAUAACAAAAUAUUAUAUUCAAAACUAACGUCACUUGUGUGCACUUUGGGUCUCAGGAUAUAUCAUAGUAGAGAUAUUUUUUUUUUAAACAGACAAUUUGAAUACCGAAAUUUAUGGGUAAGGUACGGGCGGAGCUCAGGUCGAGUAAGCAUAUAAGAAAAGACAGACCGUUUGACCGUUUCGUACAGGUUCUCCGUCGUGACUUGGUUCCAGUGUGCCCCUCCCGUCUCAGGUGAGCGCGCUCGAGUCGCUGCAGGUGGUUCAAAUGUAUUUUUUCCGGGACAACGUCAUAGAGACGAUCGUUUAAGUCGACAGAGGAAAAUGUUUGGACACUAUUUAAAAUUGCACCAAAAGAGAAUAAUAAAUACGUUUCAGAAUCUAAGACACAGGCACACAGCAGACGAUAUUACGACCUUUUAAAGUCUAAUCGUAAAAGCAAUGAAGCAAAUGAGCUGAGUCAUCAAUAAUGAAAAUAGUACAUAAUAUUUGAUAUUGCAUGAUAGAAAAUAUGUUAAGAAUAUGUGUCCAGCUGUGUUGAUCAGCGUUCUGCAUAUUACAUUUUGUAUUUUUAGUUAUUUUUGAACAUAAUAUUAUGGCCUUGAGUAUAAGUAUAAUAUUAUUUAACGAGUGUUUUUUUUCAAAUAAUAUAUAAUUCUAUGUGUAUCUUGAUUUAUUAUUUACGUAUACGAUAAUACAUAUUUGCAUUAAUUUUAUGAAAUACACAGGUAUAUGAGCUUAUGACUUCUUAUACACAUUACAAGUAUAGGUGCCUAAUUAAAUUGAAAAUGUAUUGUUGAACAUUUGAAAAUUAGACUAUAUAGCUAUUUAAAUAGUCAAUACAUUAUUUAUGCAAUAUACAUAUAACAUAUUUUUAAUGAAUUUAAUUUUUUUUGUCUAUUUUCUUAUAACGAAAUUAAUAAUAAUAUUUGUAUGUUUUUCAAAUUAUCAAUACCUAAGUAUUGUUUCAAUUUUUUUACUUAUAUAGUUAUAUGUUUAUUUUUACUUUAUAAAAUAGUACCUACUCAUUCCUUUUUAUUAUCCAAUCAGCUACUAUAGCUAUUACGUAUAUUACAUGCCCAAAUUUUCCUGAUGGCUAAAAAUUAGUUAUAGAGUUAUCGCAUUUUUAAUUACAUACUAAUUAUAAAUCAUUAUCGAUUAAAAAUUAUAUUUAAUUAUAUAAAUUUAAAAAUAUAAAAAAAAUAUUCUAUUUGGGUAAGUAUGAUAAGUAUUUACUCAUAAAUUAUAAUACGUAUAUACAUAGCUAUAUAUAUCACGUGCAAAAGUAAUAUUAUUUAUAAAAACCUUUUCGAAUCACAGUGGCCCAUGUUGCAGAGAGUCUUUAAAAGAAAAUAUCAUUAUUUAUUCUAAAAUUAAAUUUGUUUGGUAUCUAUUGGUAAAACAAGUUUUUAAUAUAAACUUAUUCGUCCAAGAUUGAAUAAAAUACCAUGGCACUUUAAUUUUGUUUUUAUUCGUUUUAAAUAUUUUCAAUGUACCUAUUUUAAAUGAGAAAAAAUAUGUCCAAUGACUAGAAGUACAUAUUUUCAAAUAUAAUACUGGUUUUUAUACUAGCCCGUCCACGUAUAAGCAUGCGUCAUAGGUAUCAACAACAACUCGUUUGGCGGCUGCCUCUGGUUUUUAAAUAAAACAGAAAUAAUAUUUUUUUUUUUUUUUAAUUAAGAGUUAUCUAUACUCUUGGGAAUAAUCUGCAGUCAUUUUGCGCAGUAUUUUGCUACUCACUACAAUACGUAUAAUUACGAUUGGCCUUCACUCUAUUUGGCCGUAAUGAUAUCUUUCAGGAUUAGUCGAUACCUUUGGUUUUUAAAACAAAAUUUUUAUUUUUAUUUUUCAUUUCGAGUUUAAGCGAAUUGGUGAGGCCAAAUAAGGUGAAACCCUCUGCAGGAGGCAACAAUAACCUCCACCCCAAUAAUAAAGGUUAAGAUAUAUAUGUUUAUUAAACACUUGUGGAUUUAAUAUAAUGUAAAUUAACGUAGUAAUUUUUUGAAAAUUACAAUAACCAAAACUAUUAUUAAUACAUCAUUUAUUUAGGCAAAUCAAUAUAAUAUAAUAAUUGUUGUGAUAUUAAAUAAUAUUAAGUUUGUGAAAAUAUCAAAUUUUAUCGACAGACUAUCGUUGUUUAUUAAUAUUCCGCCCCUCUUUGAUACACGGACACACCUAGUAUUACAUGGGAAACUCAAAGAAGCCAGUUUUUAUAAGAUCAAGCCACUUACGUCCACACACAGUCGUUGAGGAUGAGUAGGGUCGGGAUAUAAAUACGAGUAGAUAGAACAUUUUCAUUUUAGUGUUGUCAGAGACUUGUGAUAUUAAAGAGUUCGUCAUAACAUUUUGCUAAUAUUUUUAAAUUAAAAUUUUUUUCUGCUUUCAACAAUAUCCCAAAUUGACACUUCUGAUGACAAAUAUCGAUUGUGAGGAUACUGUUGGUUGGUAAACACGUGUGUGUAGUUUUGGCAGAUUUUCAAGUGGGCACCCGUAUCUGCCAUGCCCGGGUGGGGGAAGGCGGCACCUUGUUCUCCGGACACCAUGACUUGCCCGAAGAAAAAUUCCACCCGUGAACCGAGGUUUGAACCAGCGCCGGUGUGCAUCACAACCGAAGCCUUAGUCCCCUUAGCCACUCCGUCCCCCUAUCGAUAUAUUAUAAUCGAUAAAUAUUCAUUUAAAUUAUAAUAUUACUAUAUUAGUAAGUUAUCAAAUUUCAACAGCACUGCACAACAACACUCGGCUACUAGUUUAGGUAAGUCCUACCAUAGUACCAUAUUUUGUUUAAAACUGAAGGACCGUAAAUUGUUAAGGAACGGUAUAAAAUAAACAAAACGCCUACUUAGGCUGCUCUGUGAAAGUCGUAAAAACACAGAGUAAUAUACUUCACGCCAUGAUUAUAAUAAUAAUAGAAUAAUAACAAAAAAAUGUCAAUUGAUCUAUAUAAUUCAUAAUACAUAUAAAAUAAUAAUAAUCAUUAUUAUGUUUAUACACAAAAUUGUGAAACUCCAUCGAAAAAGUAAAAUUAAUUGCACAUAAAUAUCGAAAAACAUAAUAACAACGAAUCAGAUACGUCAUAAUAAGUUGGAUCUUAAGUUAAUAUUUUUAAUAAUAGCUAUAUUGCAAUACUACAAUUAUUGGAAGAAUCUUGUACUAGGUACAUCAUAAUUGAAAAUAAUUUAAGAUUAAUAGGUAAAACGUUAAAUGUAAUAGCAUUAAAUUAUAAAUUAUUUGACAAAAAACGUAACCUUGAAUUCUAGAAUUCUUAAAUAAAAUAUAAGACCAUAAUUUUUUAUAAGCUUAUAAUUUUCCACGAACUAAAAUUUUAAAUACAUAUUUUAUUGAUUAUUAAGGCAUAAUCUAUAGGCAUAUGAUUUCAAUAGAAAAGAAAACAGAUGUUUUGAUAAACGUAAUUAUUUUAAUUAUAUUCUAUAGACACAUUAUUUAUGUUAUUCUAUGUUCAAAUACUGAAUAUUUUUUCUAACGUUUAAUAUUACGAUGUAUCAGUCAAAAAGAUAAAUAUUUGUAUAGACAUUUAAAGUUCAAAUUAUAACACAGCAUUAUUAUAUUAUGUUAUGUACUUAUUAUGUGGUGUGUAAGACAUAAUCCCUCACGAGACUGUUAUACUUAGAUUUAUAUUAGAACUUAAACCUCCCAACAUUGAAGAUGAUUUUUGCUUAUAUAACUGUAUUUUUGGGAUCAGUUAUGUCGCAUGUCAAUAAUGUUAAAUAAUCUUUUGAUUUGUCAUAUUCAAAAGAAAUACUAGGUAUUUUCAAAUUAAUUUAAUUAAAUCCUAUUGUAUUACACUAGAAAAAUAAUUAUUAUGAAACAACACUGACUAAAUGUAAAUUUAAAUUUAAAUUUCGAACUAGAAAUAUUUGAUAAAUAAUAUUAAAUGUAUUGAUUUUUGUUAUUAUGUUAUCAAGUUUCACGUUUCAUAUUGUACACAUUAUUCAUUAUCAUUAUAUUCUUAUCGAUAGUAAAAAAAUGUUCAGUAAAAAAAAUAAUAUGUAACUAUAUAGGGAACUAUGUAGAUAACUAUGUAAAAUGUAUAUUUGAAUUGAAUUAUUAUUAUUGUACGACUACAGACAAAUUCACAAACGCCAACUCCCGGGUCAACUCAUGUUCCAAACCGUUUAUUCCAAGCACUUGGGACCUAAUAGAGCGUGAGCAAUGAUUAUAUUAUUUAAAGCUAUAUCUGACAUGUUAAUUAUAUGACUUAACUUCAAAUAUUAUUAACACGGAAAUCGCAUACGUAUCAAUUAUUUAUACUAUAAGGUACAAACACAUGCAUAAAACUAAGCAACAUUUAAAUCGUAAAAUGCAUUUUAAGAAGGAAUAAAUUAAAACACGCGCCAUAAUGCGAUGUAUCUACCAGCAAAACAAUAAUGUUAAGUGAAGAAUAAAUAUCAUUCAUGAAAGGAUGCCGUUCAAAUUAACCGAACCGAUUUACCAAUCUUCUUUUACAUUAUAUGAAUAAAAUAAAAUUCACAAAUAAACUGUCGGUAUAUUGAAAAUGAAAAUAUAGCUAAUAUCACACAAUCUAUUUUGACCCACAGUGUAAAUACAUAAAUUCCGGUCUAUCAAAACUUCGAACAAAACCCGCAGUUCAUAUACUCUCCGUCUCUUCAGUCUUCAUACUUUAUAUUGUUUUAUAUAUUUUUUUUAUAUAUACAUUUAAGAUAAGUAUAAAGUUAGCAUAGAUUUUUAAUUGAUGUGUAUAUUAUUGCUAGUAUUGAAUAAAUGUUUUUGAUAUCCGUGUAAAAUAUGUAUUAUAUUAUGUUUAUUCAUACAGGUACAUUAUUAUCUAUGUAAAUUAUUCUUUUUUAAAAAUUGAAUUCUCAUAAUUAUGUUGAAAAAAAUAUGUGCGUACUUAUCGGCUAGUUUAAACGUUACUAAUUGCGAUCUGGCACAACCUCGCCGAACAGUUCAAGGAAAAAUUCCAUUAAUAUAGGUACUAUUAUUAUAAAUUAUGUACCUAUAGGUACCUAGCUAAUACCAAUGAUAUACAAAUGCUAACCUAACCAGUAUGAUAUACGACCGGAACGAGGCAAAAACUAUACGCCGAUGGUCCAAAAUGUAUAAUAAGAACAUUUGUCUUGUUUGUCACGCCCUACAGUGCGUGUGUAUAAUAUGUAAUAAUAAUAUUAUGAUCUU